CAUAAAGACUGAGAAGAAAGCGCCGAGGGGACUGGAAGCAGAGCUUAGAGUGCAGGUUUCCGAGGAGCCCUGAAAGCCAGAAGCACCUUUUCUUUAUUUGGGAUUUUUUAUGGAUCCUUUUGUCGGGAAGUUUUGUAAUAAGCCACAAGGAGGGUAUUAUUGGGUCAAGUGUGCCUGAAGUCAAGUUACCGGCUUCCUGAGAAGGAAAACUGAGGAAGGGAGCAUGGACAGCACUGCACUAACUCAGCAGGGGGUGCUGCAGGGCAGGCAUGCCCUACAAGACCACACUGAUCUAUUAGUUAAUUCUGAGUAACAAAUUAUAUUGAAUUUAAACACUCCUGUUAUGGUUUCUCUGAUCACAUUCAUACCGACUCAUUGUCUCCUGCACUGAGCUUCAAAUCACUCAUGUCUUAUUUGAACGGUAUCUUGUGUCCUCAGCCUUUGCAGAGGUAAAUUGUAUGUGGCUAUGGCUAGUAAGACUUGUCUUCACUGCUUUGGAUACAUAUACUAUCUUGUCUACACUGAGUUAAUUUGGAUUAAGGACUGGUGUGAAUUUGAUUAACGAAUGCAACUAUAUAGACACAGAUGUGGUGCUGGUACCCAAACCUGUGACUUCAGAGGAAGCUGCAUACAACUGGGACUGGAGAUCUGAGGACUCUGAGAAGAGCAGAGAAGAACAGAAGCAGUACUGUGCACACAUCAUUAAUUUAUAUGUUGAUCAUUCUCCUCUUAGACAAUUUCAAGCACCUUGGCGAGCUGUUGUUUAUGCUCAGGCUGAGUGGAGGACCUGGGAGACAGAGAGCAAUCCCUUCCCAGCAAGGACCUGAUCAGAGCAGAUUAAUCCUGGAGAACUGAAUAUGCAAAGGUCCAAGAUUUUCCUUCAGUCAUCUGGCAUUGGAUCUAGAAAGGAGAUCAUUGCGGUGCCUUGUGAUUCCAAACUCUGGAGAGGGACCAGUCACUAUAUUUUCCUGCCAGAUUAAAUCAAGUGCCCCAGACAGGCUUUGAAAGGAGUGCUCCCAGGUGUAUAUGUAUUUUUAGAAUGGGAAUUAAAAGGCAGGGGCACAGGAUGAUCUGCUAGUCUGGGCAGGGAGGCAGAACAAUGCUGGCGGGCUCUGCCGUGAUCAGAACGUUCUCUGUCCCUGGGAUUCAUAAGGUAGUCCAGCCCCAUCAAUCAACAGUGAGACUAAAGUCACCAUUUUGGUUCUCUUUGACCCUCCUUGUGAGAGGGAAGCUGAAAAAGUGGGAAUGAAUAGAAACAAAGCCCUUGCCUGAACAAUUCACAUUUUUCAGAUCCUGUUAAUAAACCAUUUUAGAAUAAAUUGCCUGGAUUUCCUAUAACAUAAAAAUCCUUUGAGGGAGCUGAGCAGAGAACCAGAAGAGUAGAUUAAACAGCUGAGCUUGCUGAAGGAGAUAGGAGACAGAGAAGGUCAGAUAACAUUAGCUGUGUAUAUUAUCAGAUAACAAAAAGAGAGCAGGGAAACAUCUACCUGGAUGGGACAAGCAUUUGGGUACUGCCAAAGGAUAGCUGAUAAUCAUAGUGGCAGUCCUACUGAGAGAGCAAGAGCGAGCAGAGCCACUGAUUGCCAGUGACUUCUGACAAGUCCAGGUAUAUAAAAGAGAGUGCAGCUACCAAAUAAACCUAAGAAGCUCAAAGGAAGAAUGGUGCCCCAUGGAAAGGUGUCAUCCAGUGGAGAUGCAUAACUAGACAUGGGAAGCCCCAUAGUCCUUUAUUUUGGUUGGCCUGCCUGCCCAUAUUUGCACAUCAGCCUUCUUGGCGCAAACUCUUGCACAGUGCAUGCGUUGAUUGCACCCCAGACCAAGAAGAGGCUCUGUGGUGCAAUGAAAGCUAAACAUCGGGGGUAGUCUCUCCACAGGGCAUUGGUAGAUAUCAAGCCCCUUGCAGGCCUGCUUACUGCCUUACUUACAAAUAAAAAAGGGAGUAGGCUGUGGGUGAAGAAUGGGCAUGUCUGCAGAAAACUGGAUUUAAGUGCAUUCCUCACUGUGCAAAUGAGGCACUUAGCAACAUCUGAGGCCUUAUUAGGCAGGAAAACUUUGGCAGUCUCCCAGCAGUACUCUCAGGAAUGCAGGAUCAGGUUCCCAUGUGUUGCCUGGCCUGGCUCAUCACCUUUUACCUUGAGCUUAUACACCCAGCACUCCAUACCAGUGCUGUGCAGAGCAAGUGUGGCAUGCGGCCCCAGAGAAAACCUUCAGUGAUAGUAAUAUCAUUCCCUGAUCCUACUUACCCAUUGCCAGACUAUCUCAGCAGCAGCUAAGUGAGAUGAAUUUCCUCUUGGUGAGGGGGGGAGGAGAUAAACACAACUAAUUUUUAUUAUUUACGCUAAAGAUGCAUCAGGCAGCAACCAAACCCUGAAAUCUGACAGUGCAGUGAGAGAACACUAGGGGGCCACUUACUGAUCAGCAGGAAUCCUAGAUUGUUUCACUAUUCUCUGGCCCUUUCCUGAGAAACAAAAGAACAUUCACGGGCUGGCGUCUUGGAAUAGAGAUAUGAUGUUGGUCGGUGGUUAUGGGAUCUGUUUCUAAAACUUGCUCCCUAUUAAUUGCGAAAAUAAAGAUAUCUUUCAAAC